UACGAAGGGGGGCUAGCGUUGCUCGGAAUUAUUGGGCGUAAAGCGCACGUAGGCGGCUUUGCAAGUCGGAUGUGAAAUCCCUCGGCUUAACCAAGGAAGUGCAUCCGAAACUGCAGAGCUUGAGUACGAAAAGAGGAUCGCGGAAUUCCCGGUGUAGAGGUGAAAUUCGUAGAUAUCGGGAGGAACACCAGUGGCGAAGGCGGCGAUCUGGGUCGAUACUGACGCUGAGGUGCGAAAGCGUGGGGAGCAAACAGG
rnacentral:rRNA from 1 species